UCAAGAACAAGAGAAGGGGUACAGGACGCUUGCAGAUAUGGUGUGUGCAGUGGAAGUGUGCAGAGGAGCAUCCUGAAGGGGUGAGGUGAGCCAAAUACUGUAGAAUUGGAGGCCAGGCUGGGAAGUAGUUACUUCCCGUAAUGCAGAGGCAGUAGAGGGACACUGAAUGUGGAGAGAGCUUGUAGGGUGGUUUGUACAAAGGGGAAAAUAUCUUGCUGUUUUCCUGUGGUGCAGUCACUCAGCUCAGCUACCCACCAAGACAAGAAAGGCCCUCUUGCCACUUUCCCAGGUUCAAGUGUGCCUGGCCUGGAGGACAGAUGGAAUCUGAGACUUGGUGCUACUCAGCCGUGGGCAUCCAAAAAGCAAGGAGUGGCCUUGAAGUGCCUGCACUUGAGCGUCCCUGAAGAGGAAGCAGGAAGCACCAUAAUGGAUCCUGGCGGUAGCUUGCCCUUCCGAUCCACUCCAAAGUCAGCCUGUGAGGACAUAAGCUCUAGCUAAGAAGGGAGGAGAAACUGUCAUGGAUUGAAAGAGAUAUAAGAGCUGGAUCAACUGAAUGCAAAGUGAAGACAUUAUUUGAAAUCUGGUUGGAAGAACCUAACCAAAAGAACACCAUUUUGAGACAACCAUGGAACAUAAAGCAUGAAAGAAGUAUUCUAUGAUAUUAAGCAAUGAUUAUUAUUUUUGUUGUGAUGAUGAUAUUGUGGUUAUUUUUUAAUCCUUGUCUAUUGGAGAUACAAACGGAUGUAUUUACAGGCG
rnacentral:lncRNA from 1 species